rnacentral:rRNA from 1 species
GUGACUGCGUACCUUUUGUAUAAUGGGUCAGCGACUUAUAUUCUGUAGCAAGGUUAACCGAAUAGGGGAGCCGGAGGGAAACCGAGUCUUAAUUGGGCGUUAAGUUGCAGGGUAUAGACCCGAAACCCGGUGAUCUAGCCAUGGGCAGGUUGAAGGUUGGGUAACACUAACUGGAGGACCGAACCGACUAAUGUUGAAAAAUUAGCGGAUGACCUGUGGC